UGUGGGAGCGAGACGAGGACUCACUGUGCUUUUUAUAUAGUCAGUCUUUUUCUCUCUCCUAUA
rnacentral:pre_miRNA from 1 species